GCCAGUGUGGCGUAGUGGUUUUAGUGUUCGACUACAGCUCCGAAGACCAGGGUUUGAUUCCGUUUGGCC